GUUCGGAAUUCCUGGGCGUAACGGGCUCGUAGGCGGCCAACUAAGUCAGACGUGAAAUCCCUCGGCUUAACCGGGGAACUGCGUCUGAUACUGGAUGGCUUGAGUUUGGGAGAGGGAUGCGGAAUUCCAGGUGUAGCGGUGAAAUGCGUAGAUAUCUGGAGGAACACCGGUGGCGAAGGCGGCAUCCUGGACCAACACUGACGCUGAGUGAGCGAAAGCAAGGGGAGCAAACGGG
rnacentral:rRNA from 1 species